GCUUCCUCUGGAAAUUUUUUUUUUCUCUUUCUUCUUCAAACAUUCUUCAAGUGUUCAAGUGAUUCAACAAGCCUAAAGAGGAAAACCUAAUUAAGAAAUUGAGGGGUUUAAUAGAUUUGGAAGGAAUUAGUUCUCAAGAGAAAUAUGAUGAAGUAUGCUGUUAUGAGAGCGAUAGAACGUGAUGCUUUGGAGUAUUUAGAAAUAAAUGUUAUUAAUAUUCAGGACUUUAAUAUGUUUUAUGUUGUUAAAGACUAUGUUGAGGAUUGUAAUUGUCUUUUAUUUUGGUUUUAUUUAAGUUAGCCUUAGCACAUAGGUAUUGUGGUUUCCUAAGUGUGGCGGUAAUGCCCUCAAUAAGAUUUUGAAAAGCUUCCGCAUUC